rnacentral:rRNA from 1 species
CCCUUAGAUGUUCUGGGCCGCACACGCGCUACACUGACGACUUCAACGAGUUUUUUUCAUUUGAAAAAGUCCUUGGCCGGAAGGUCUGGGUAAUCUUUUAAAAGGUCGUCGUGAUGGGGCUAGAUUCUUGCAAUUAUUAAUCUCCAACGAGGAAUUCCUAGUAAACGCAAGUCAUCAACUUGCAUUGAUUACGUCCCUGCCCUUUGUACACACCGCCCGUCGCACCUACCGAUUGAACGUUCCGGUGAGACCUUGGGAUUUGGUCUUUGGUACUUUAUUGUGCCGUUGACCGAAAAACUUGAGCAAACCUUAACGUUUAGAGGAAGGUGAAGUCGUAACA